GCCGCCGUAGCUCAGCCCGGGAGAGCGCCCGGAGCCCCUCAUAUGAGGGGCUGGCGAAGCUGAAGACCGGGUUGUCCGGGGUUCAAAUCCCCGCGGCGGCA
rnacentral:tRNA from 1 species